CUGAAAUGUGUGUGUGUGUGUCAAACAUGAAGCCCCCGGGGGGGGGGAAUGAGAUAAAAGAAAGCCACAUUACCAUGCCAGCUUUCAAUAAACAGUGACUUCGUCGUCAGCCAUUUGAAGCAUUUUAUCCAAUAAACUUGUAAGAAAUAGAAAACAAAACAGGCCUUUCUCAGGGCUGUGGUUUUUGAAGAAUGAUUUACAGUAGUUGCUUUUCUUUCUCACUCUCUUUUUGACGUGGCACCAAAACUGGAGUUCAUUCAAAUACAGAGGCAUUACCAGCCUUCGUGACAGCGCUUGGUUGGAAAAAAGAAAGAUGCAGAAAUAUAAGAGGCCUUUUAAUCCUAUGGAAAAAGCCUUCCUGGGGAAAAUGAACGCCUCUGUCGCGGCCGCCCAGGUGAGAAGCAUCAGAGCGCGAAGGAAAGAUCGCCCCCUUCCGUUCGGAAGAGGCUACAGCCGACCCAACCGACUUAACCCUCUCGCCGCCAAGACAAAAACAAGAACGCGUACACCGAUGGCUAAUAUAAAUCGAACGUGGGGAGGGGGAGUCAGGACACAGAUGGGUGUAAACUGUGUACAGUAAUCCGGAUUCACAUUUAUAUCCCCUCCAAUUUUUUUACGAAGUUAAGGGACCAGACGUUUAGAACCAAAUUAGAAGUCGCCCAGAGAGUCACGCCACGGCCCGCUUGCCCGAAGUUUGGACUCGAGUUUUAAACCAGGAGAAUCCGCCGCUGUAAACAGGUGCUUCCAUAUUAAAAACCUAAGUGUCACUCAAGGCAAGCGCAGCGGAUGGUGGAGGGAAAAUAACGCAAGAAAGGAGAGGAGCCUACGCCUAUACGCCCCAAAACAAGAAAACAAGUUACCUGGAGUGAGAAAUAAUCCGCUAUGGAAACGCUCCCGGUAGCCGAAGAAUGAAGUCAGAAGGGAGAGACUCUGGCGGCCGCCUUUUGGGAUCGCGGUUGUGCAGCCGUCGAGCGGGAGCAAAGUCCGCACCUGUGACCCCGACCGGCAGCCCUGGACGGGGAGGCAACUGUUUGCUCGAUUCUUUCCCGCCCUUUCCUCGCUCAAGCCACCCUCACGGGCGACUGGAACAGGAAAUACCGGCUCAAAGCCUCGGUGGAGGAGGGGAAGUCGGAUGCGACCGUCAAAGUUUAGUCAUUGCCCCGGAUCUAUUAUUUAUUGUUCGGCCCUGGAGCGAGCGCCAACCCCCGCCCUUGACGCGCUGCCCUGGGAAACUGCUCCAGGGGCCCGAUCCGGCCACCUUCGGUGUAUGUGCUUCUGCUGUUUACUGUCUGUUUAGAGCUCAUCUGUGCUGUUGAAUUAAACUGAGAACUGGUUGAGAUUUUUAGAAAUUGAUUUGGCUUCACCUUGUUUUUUUAAGAACUGGUUGAGAUUUUAGAAAUUGAUUUGACUUCACCUUGUUUUUUGUGUCUGU
rnacentral:lncRNA from 1 species